rnacentral:lncRNA from 1 species
UAAUAGUCGAAUUAUUAGUCGGUCAAUCGGCAAUAGGUCGAUACGGUUCGCUCAGUUGGUCGAUGAAGAGUCAGAAUCGCACAUUCAGCCGAUGUAGAAUCGGAGUUGUAUGUCCGAUCAGUCGGCUGUUGUUGAGUCGAAGUGGGUAGUCGGUUGAUCUGAGUCGGAGAUUGAUUGACUUAUCCCAACAGUUACCCUCUACUCUCA